GGAGGGAUUUGGUUCACGGUGUUCACAAACAGACAGACAGACGGGGACAGAUCGACGGGCGGGGCGGGGAGCUUGAGAGAGGAAGGAGAGAGGAAAAGACGGUGUGCUUUGUCAUGUCCCGAUGAAAACAAGCAGCUCUCAGACCCACUCCAAACU